GAAUUUUGGACAAUGGGCGAAAGCCUGAUCCAGCAAUCCCGCGUGCAGGGUGAAGGCCUUCGGGUUGUAAACUUCUUUUUUACGGAACGAAAAGCUUUGGGUUAAUACGCUGGGAUCAUGACGGUACCGUAAGAAUAGGCCCCGGCUUAAUACGUGGCCGCAGCCGGGGUAAUCAGUAGGGUGCAAGCGUUAAUCGGAUUUACUGGGCGUAAAGCGUGCGCAGGCGGUUUUGUAAGACAGAGGUGAAAUCCCCGGGCUCAACCUGGGAACUGCCUUUGUGACUGCAAGGCUAGAGUACGGCAGAGGGGGGUGGAAUUCCGCGUGUAGCAGUGAAAUGCGUAGAUAUGCGGAGGAACACCGAUGGCGAAGGCAACCCCCUGGGCCUGUACUGACGCUCAUGCACGAAAGCGUGGGGAGCAAACA
rnacentral:rRNA from 1 species